AGAAACAUGGCUGCAGGGCGGCACAAGUGAUAGCCUGAUUAGCAUAGAUGGAUAUAAUAUACAUACCGCGGAGACUGUCAAAAUCAAAAAGGGGGAGGUGUAUGUAUUCUGGCCAAGGAAAAAAUUAAUAGCUUUAAAAUAAAUUGCAUUUUCUCAGAUAUUCACAAAUUCCAAACACCAAUUGAUGCAGUAUGGCUGGAUGUCCAGAUAUGUGAAGUGAAUUUGUCUGUUGCUUAUUUAUACAGACCGGGAACAACCACUAGCGAAGAGGUCAAUACCCACAUGAUAGAUACUAUAAAAAAGGGCAUACACAUCAUCAAAAUGUCCAACAAUUGUUGUGGGAGACUUCAACUACCCCAACAUUAACUGGAAAAGCCUCUCAAUUGCACCACCAGACAAAAAGACGCAGGAUUUUAUCAACAUGUAUCAAGAAAGAGCCCAGCAGUUGAUUGAUUUCCCAACAAGAUACAGAAAAGACCAAAGUUCCCUUUUGGACCUCUUCAAAACCAACGAUCCUAAAAGCAUCUUUGAUCUUUGCUCAGAACCGCCCAUUGGCCGCAGCGACCAUGUCGUAAUAAAAGCAAAAACACAACUAAAAAUUCCACCCAAACAAACACAAGCAAUUGUAAGAAGGAACUUUUACACUGCAAACUAUGAAGAAAUCAACCACUUCAUUCAACUACAACCAGCGCAUGCGAACAAAUCAAUCUUCGAAAACUUUCAAAAUGUUGUGAAUGGUGCUAUCGAACAAUACAUUCCUACCGGACGUGUGAAAACAAACCCCCAAAAACCAUGGAUAAAUGAAAAUAUUUUCAAAGAAAUUAACAAAAAACGGAAACUAUGGGAAAAGUAUAUAACAAACAAAACUCAGGACAAAUAUCAAGCCUAUAUGUGCCAAAAUAAUAUUACCAAACAUAAGUUGGUCGACGCCAGAAAGAAAUAUGAAAAUGGUCUUGCAAACUCGGUCUCGCCAAAUAAACUAUUUAAAUAUGUAAAUCGCAACUUAAACUCGAAAAUCUCAACCAUAACCCUAAAAGAUACAGCAACCCAGCAGUUUCUAGACAGCAAAUCCAUGGCGGAAACAUUCGCAGAACAGUUUGAUACAGCAUUCACGAAGGAUUCAUAUCCAAUUCCAUUAUUGCCUAAUCACAGCAGGGUGCAACCCUCAAUUGUAACUAUUCAUUUUACAAAAGAGAAAGUCGAAGAAGCGCUUAAAAAUAUGAAAAGGGACCCAAGCCCAGGACCAGGUAAAAUCCCAACAGUUUUCCUUCAAAAUUGCAGAAAUUCCCUCAGUCCCUUGCUUUCGGGGACAAUGCAGGAAUGCUUAGAACAAGGAAAGAUACCAGAAGAAUGGAAACAUUCAAAACGGAACAAACCGGAAAACUACAGACCUAUCAGCCUCACAUGCAACCCACUGAAAUGUAUGGAGAAAGUAAUAGUUAAGGAGCUCAUAGCAUUCUUUCUGGAGAAUGGUUUGAUACCUGCCUCUCAGCAUGGAUUUUUGCCUAAACGUUCAACAACAACAAACCUUUUAGAGUGUAGAGACGACAAUGGCCAGCCAACAGACAUAAUAUAUCUUGACUAUGAAAAGGCAUUUGAUAAGCUCUUAAUGGCAAAGCUGGAGCAUUUUGGAGUCAGAGGAAAGCUGCUUGAUCUGAUCAAGGCAUUACUGAAUGAGAGAUUCUACCAGGUUAUAGUCAAUGGGGAGCUGUCCAGUUCACAUUGAGUGAGCAGCGGCGUUAUCCAGGGAUCGGUAGUUGGCCCAGUGCUUUUUACAUCAUAUUUGUUUGAUCUAGUUGGACUUAUAAAGAUGGACACAAGUCUGUUUGCAGAUGACUGCAAAAUAUAUGCUAAUCCUCUAACCAGCGCAGUGCUGCUCCAGGCAGACCUGCAGAAUGCUGAGAUGUGGUCAAGGCAAUGGGGUAUGAAAAUGUAUCCAAAUGCACAGUGUUGAGGAUCGGUCCAGAUAAUCCUGAUAAUGAAUAUUUUCUGGAUGGAUGUGCCUUAAAAUCAGUGAACGAACAAAAUGACCUAGGAGUCCUAAUAACAUCAGACCUAAAAUGGGAACGUCAUAUAACCAGAAUUUGUAAAAAAGCAAACUCGCUAGUCUAUCUGAUAAAACAAGCUUUUAGGGACCAUUCUAUUGAAAUGAUAUCCACUCUAUACAAAAGUUACAUAAGACCAAAAAAUUACGAAUUAAGCGAGGUGCCAUAUCCAGAAAGAUUAAUCAGGUUUGGUUUGACCACUCUCAGAGAGCGAAGACAUAGAGGCGAUCUCAUCGAAACCUACAAGAUUACCAGUGGUUAUUACCAGUGCAAUUUGGCGAACCUUUUCCACUAAUAUAGCCAAAACCAUCAUCUCCGAGGACAUACAAGGAAGCUUGAAAAAGAAAGAACAGCAAAACUUCCCAGAAAAAACUUUGUAACAAAUCGUGCAGUGCACUUGUAGAACUCGUUAAAUCAGGAAACGGUGACGGCCCCAAAUACGAAUAUCUUCAAGAAUCGCGUUGAUGUUGAGCUGGGACAAAAUUCGGAGAGAAUGAUCCACUACUGCAUGUGAGCAGGUCCACCUACUCAAGCCUGAAACAUACGGAAGAAACAAUAGCUUCAUCGGUCUCACCGCCUGAUAUUGUCAACAUAAUAAUAAUAAUCAUAAUAAUAAAAUAUAUAUAUAUAAACAUAUAUAACACCGCCCAACAGCAUGUAUGUUGCAUGGAAUAUUUUUAUGAUUCUAGGCUUAUUUUUAAUGCUGAUAUUAAAUAAUGUCAUCAGUUUAUAUGUGUCAGCUCUAGUUUUUGAGUUAAAAGGAGGGAGUAUUUUUUGGGAAUUAAAAAUACACUCAACGUACAAACAUUUUUAAUUACAAGAACUAUACACUCAGGAAUUUUCUUUUAUAUGAUUUUCUACUAGUUUUGAAUGAACUGCUACUCUGAAUACUCCAGCAAAAAUCGGCCAACAUAUGUGCAUCCCAGCGACCCUGAAAUCGUUCCUCCAUGGUUCGAAGAUCUUGGUGGAAUCGUUCACCCUGUUCUUCACUCAUGUCACCGAGAUUUUCAGGAAAAUGGUGUAAAUGGCUGUGUAGGAAGUGCACUUUGAUGCUCAUGUUACAUCCAAGUCGCUGGAAGUGUGACAACAUCUCUUCGACGUGCGCAAUGUAAUCAUCACCCUUCCUAUUACCUAAGAAAUUUUGGAUAACCCAAACAAAGGAAUCCCAUGCAUUCUUCUCAAUUUCUGACAUUGAGCUGGUGAAAUUAGGAUCGUUUACCAACUUGCGAAUUUGUGGACCAUCAAAUAUACCUGCCUUGAGUUUUUCUGAACUUAGACUUGGAAAUUUCCUUGAAAUAUAUUUGAAACAUUCACCAUCCCUGGAAGUAGUGCUUCCCUAGAGGGCCAUUCUUUUUUUGACCAAUGUUCUGAUUUUGCUCUACUAUCCCAUAAACACAUAAAACAAGGAUAUUUAGUGUAGCCUCCUUGUUGUCCUAAAAGGAAGUUCACCAUCUUAAGAUCAACGCAAAUCACCCAUUUAUGAUCGUUAUAUUUGAUUUUGUUCAUGACCAGUGCUAUUUUGGGGUAUUCUUCCUUAACUUUAGUUGAAUGUGCUAUUGGUAUGGAGCCUAGUUUAUUUCCGUUGUGCAAUAGUACACACUUCAAACUCCGUUUUGACGAGUCAAUAAAUAAACGCCAAUCGAUUGGUUCAUAUUUCUGCAAGCCCAUGGCAGUCAUUAAACCAGAAAUAUUAGUACAAAAUACAAAAUUAUCCUCCUCAGCGAAAAAGGGAAGUAAGUAUUUUUCUCGAGUGCGGUAAUAAGCAACUUUAGUUUCUUUAGUUAAAAGAUUUCUCUCUUUUAAUCUGGAGGCCAAUAAUUCAGACGAAGUUUUGGAUAGUCCAAGGUCUCUAAUUAAAUCAUCAAGUGCACUUUGAUCGAAUGGUUUUGGUUCAAAGAGAUUUUCUGGAACAAACUCGUCAUCGCUCAUGCUACUCAGUUCAUUCAAUUCAUCAGGACUUUCUGUAGAUGUAGAUGGUAAUGGUAAAGAUGUAUCUUUUGAGCUCCUUACAGGCCUCACAGCUGAUGUUGAUGUGGGGUAAAUCCAUUUGGAGCGGUUCGUCUUGUUGAUUCCUUUUAUAUUAACAACGCAAAAAUAGCAGUCAUCGUGAUGAUUUAAAGGUUCACGCCAAAUCAUUGGGGAUUGGAAUUUAAAAGAGAGUCUCUUCUUAGUGGCCCAUAAACGUAAUUCUUCAACACAAAUUUUGCACACAAUAUUGGGCACCCAGCACUUGUUAUCUGUUUCCAAAGGAAAACCAAAACACUCUAAAUACGCUCGUUUCCCAGAGUCUGACAUAUUCAAUCGAAAUUUUUGAAAAACAAAUUCACCACAAAUAUAACAAAAACAAUUCGGAUCGUUAAUGCAGACCCUUCUUAGCGAAGUCAUGAUGAAAAUUACAAUAAUUUAUCUAAAACUAUAAUAGAUAAAAAACCAAAAAUUAAGAUAAAUGAGAAGAACGUAGCUAUAUCUAAACAACUCGAGCUGUUAGAGUAAAACUGACGACAGAUUCGAAAUCAGAUGCCUCGAAUUAGUAAACAACAAUAAAAAUAUUUCAGUCAACAUAAAAUAACCUUCGAUUUGUUGUGCAGUGUAAUGGUUAUUAGGUUAUAAUCAUUGCAGCAAUUUUGCGUUUGAAUGUAGCUAAACAGGUCAAUAUUAUUAUUGCUGUGUAAAAUAUUAAAUCAAUAUCAAGCUCGAUAUAAUGGUGCAUUUUAUUGAUGUGUUUGUUGAAUGUCAGUUUGUGAAACCCCUAGAUCCCUCACAGAGUCGACAUUUUCUAAGGGAGUAUUACCUAACCUGUAACUGUGCUUAAUUUCGUUGCGAAUAUUUGAGAUUGACUUGCACUUUCUAAUAUUCGGAGAACCAAAGAAGAAUCAAUAGAUACACCUUCCUCCGAGGAGGAAGAGGAUGAAGAACCGGAUUUAAAGAUGCCCGUUUUAGAACCGGAAGUGUAUACUACCGAUACCAAUGAGGAAGUGAAAGAGAAACCGGAUGUCGUAAAGGAAAC